AUUGAACGCUGGCGGCAGGCCUAACACAUGCAAGUCGAGCGGAUGAGGGAAGCUUGCUUCCCGAUUUAGCGGCGGACGGGUGAGUAAUGCCUAGGAAUCUGCCUAUUAGUGGGGGAUAACGUUCCGAAAGGAACGCUAAUACCGCAUACGUCCUACGGGAGAAAGUGGGGGAUCUUCGGACCUCACGCUAAUAGAUGAGCCUAGGUCGGAUUAGCUAGUUGGUGGGGUAACGGCUCACCAAGGCGACGAUCCGUAGCUGGUCUGAGAGGAUGAUCAGCCACACUGGAACUGAGACACGGUCCAGACUCCUACGGGAGGCAGCAGUGGGGAAUAUUGGACAAUGGGCGAAGGCCUGAUCCAGCCAUGCCGCGUGUGUGAAGAAGGUCUUCGGAUUGUAAAGCACUUUAAGUUGGGAGGAAGGGUUGUAAGCUAAUAUCUUGCAGCUUUGACGUUACCAACAGAAUAAGCACCGGCUAACUACGUGCCAGCCGCCGCUGUAACAC
rnacentral:rRNA from 1 species